GGGAUGGAGCAGUUGGUAGCUCGCUUGGCUCAUAACCAAGAGGUCGCCGGUUCGAGUCCGGCUCUCCGCCA
rnacentral:tRNA from 1 species